UUUAAAAUAUGUCGAAUCUCGCGCCGUUUCCGAAACUCUCGGGCUCGAUCUUUCGGUGAUCGAUAUGCGUGUAACGUCGUGUCAUGGACGACAAGAGUGGGGAGAGCUCGCUCCCAGCUCUCUGUCAAUUAAUCUAUGCUCGCUCUCUCGCUCCGGGACCGUCGAAAGGACCGCAACUGGUUGGACUCUCCUGAAAAUUCAUCUCUCUCUACUGGCUUGACUCUCCUGAAAAGUCAUCUCUUUUUCAACGUGACGGGAUUUACUUGGGUCUGGCCGCCCCAAAGCCUUCAUCUUCGCCAGAAAGAGAGAAAUUUCAAUCGACAUCGAGGAAAAUCGUCCAAAGCCGUUGUAUUUUCAUCGAAAUCAUUCUCCUGAGGUUCCCGGAGUCGAAGAGCCAACGUGGGACGAGCAUGAACACCAAAAAAAAAAAAAACGAGAUAAGCAACUUCUUUUAUCCGUCGUUAGUCAAUAGGACAUUAAUUUGCAAAAAAAGAAAAAAUAUAUUUUCGAGUGAGUGGGUGUGAGUGCGUAGAGUAUGCGGUUGUAUGAAUGAUUGUCAUGGUUUAUAUUUUUCUUACCAAUAAUAAUAAAACAAACACGUAUCUUACAAUAUAUGUAUACUUUUCGUGAUAGCCGGCGAGUUUGGAGGCUAGGAUAUCUUUCGACUGUCAGAUCAGUCCAUUCAAUUUGGAUGGCACAUUCUCUGCGGAUCGUUACUGCAAAUUUCUCUAGACACGCCUUUGCAAGUUAUGCAUUCGUGCAAAGUUAACUUGGAGGAAUUUAACGCGGCCCAUUUUCAACAAGAUGAGGCCGUUGCUUAUACAAGUAGGCGACCCAGGAUAUCAUCUGAUUCGUCUUUGGGAACCGAGAUAUCGGGCAAGGUGGCGUUUGCAAAUGGCCUCCACGUUCACCUGAUUUCAACUCUCUUGAUUUUUUCUUUUGAGAGCACGUGAAAUUGGUCGUCUACCAGCAGCCGAUUCACGGUCGGGCGGACUUGGAGGCCUGCAUCGGGGAAGCUUUACAGACCGGUUUUACUGAUACGCAGAAGUUUCUGUAUCGUCCCUUGACGGUGUUCUAACCUUCUUUUUACGGAGAGUUAGGUGUUUGGAAUAAAUGAAUGAAAAACA